rnacentral:rRNA from 1 species
GGUGGUAAACUCCAUCUAAGGCUAAAUAUCGACGAGAGACCGAUAGCGAACAAGUACAGUGAUGGAAAGAUGAAAAGCACUUUGAAAAGAGAGUGAAACAGUACGUGAAAUUGUUGGAAGGGAAGGGAUUGGGGAGGAAACCUCUUGCCCCGUGUUUGCGCGCAGUCAAAAGCUGUGCGGGCAUGCUUCGGCUACGCCCGCGCGUUGCCCGGCCGCGUUUAGACACGGCGCGAGCUAGUCCCCCCAAUCCGCCCGUCUUGAAACACGGACCAAGGAGUCUAAUGAUUGUGCGAGUGUGCGGACGUCAGCUCCCAGCGCGUAAUGAAAGUAAGCCGCAGUUCCACUGCGCUCCGGGCACACACGGGUGUGCCUGAGAAAGCACAGCUAUUAGGACCCGAAAGAUGGUGAACUAUACUUGGAUAGGGUGAAGCCAGAGGAAACUCUGGUGGAGGCUCGCAGCGGUUCUGACGUGCAAAUCGAUCGUCGAAUCUGAGUAUAGGGGCGAAAGACUAAUCGAACCAUCUAGUAGCUGGUUCCUGCCGAAGUUUCCCUCAGG